UCUCAGGAGCUAAAGUGAACUCUUCCAAGAAUCGGGAAGAAGAAUGUGGGAUUAGAAGUCACACUACAAUUGUCCUUUAGUGUUGAAUUGUAGUGUCAGAACAGUUUCAGAAAAUAAAUCUCAGCUAAAAUCUCCUCCAUGUCAUGGUAUAUCAAUGAUACUCAAACUUUAACAUGGAUCAGAAUCAUCUCGAGAGUUCUUUACAACACAGAUAGCUAUGCCCCAGCUCAGAGUAUCAGAGUUAGUAGGUCUUGGAUGGAGCCAGAGAUUUGCAUUUCUGACAACUUCUCAGAUGAUGCUGAUGCUGCUGCCACCAAAUUUUGAGGGUCUGACUUCAAUCUGAGCUCAGUGCUAACUAGCUGUGUGACUGAGCACUUCAUGGCUCUGUCUCCUUGAAUCACUUGCACCUAGUUCAGAGCAGGUUUAGAAACCACUGAGAGCCACUGUGAUAUAGUUAACAGCAUCUACUAGGAUCCCAGCUGACAAAAAUAUUUACUCACUGUUCCUUCCAGUUUGAGUAGGAUUUGCUUUUCCUGAAAAAUUGGUGGGCAUUUUCUAUUUCUAGGGAGCUCUGAAGUUGAACUAAUGCUGCCCUUUAGCAUAAGGUCAUAGAACACAUGCUUCUGAGUCUGAUCCUCAUAUGAAUGUAAAAGCCCCAACAUUGAGCACAGCAUAUUGUGGUUUGAUAUUUUCUUUCAACACUUGUAUUAUGAAAGGAAAUCGGUGUUAUUUCUGCAAAUCCCAUGCUUGUGUUCUUAUCUUUGUGGAUUCCACGGCACCUAACAGAAUGUCUUGAGUAUGGUAGGUGUUCAAAAAAUGCUUACUGAGUUGAAAAUUACAACUUAAACUUGAUACCAAGAGCUCGUCUGUAAAAUAGCAUAUAUUGAGUAUAUAAAAAUAAUCAGAACAAUUACAUUUUAUAUGUGUAUCUUAGUUCAGUUCAGGCUGCUAUAACAAUAUCACAUACUGGGUAGCUUAAAUAACACAAAUUUAUUUCUCACAGUUCUGGAGGCUGGAAAGUCCAAGAUCUAGGUGCCAGCAGAUCUGGUUUAUGGUGACAACCUUCUUCCUGGCUUGCAGAUGUGUCUUAUUGUAUCCUCACAUGGCAGAGAGCAGAGAUCCUCUCUCUUAUGUUUCUUCUUAUAAGGACACUAAUUCCAUUCAUGAAUGUUCCACCCUCAUGAUCUAAUUACCUCCCAAAGACCCUCACCUUCAAAACCAUCACAGUUGGAAUUCAGACUUCAACAUAUGGAUUUUGGUUGGGGGACACAAACAUUCGGUCCAUAGCAGUGUGUCUUAGGAUUUCAACAGAGUUGGAAAACAAAUAUUUGUCUUCUUUAAUCUUCACAAAAGUUACAUGAAAUGAUGCAAUCUUUGGGAUUCAGAUUAUGGAAGAUCCUACUUGAAUUUUAGUGAUCCCCUGACCAAGAUUUCUAGGAGCAACUUUCUAGCACUAUGCCUCUGUGAAAGGCAUUUUCCCUGUAGUUAUCAAUGGCCGGGUGUCAAAUGCAAUUGGAAAUGCAGCUUUAUAUUAUAGCAGAUACACUGUGGGCCCAAGUUGAGUACCACUACAGAUGGAGCAUUGUCCACUCUGAGCCCAGGAGAAUGAGUGCACUCCUACAGUCUCUGCUCUCCUUAUGACUACUACAAUGAGAGACUACCAAAAAGAGAGAGACUAUUGAACUCUUUUCUCUUGGAAAAUACAGUCUAAAUCAUUGAAUGCAGCACGCCAAAUACAUAUUGAUAAUUCCAUUUUUAAUUUUUAAGUGUCAGGGAAAAUUACUUUUUUUUUUAACUUAAUGGAGUCCGUUAAUGGGAAAUUAUGUGUGACCCACUCUUGUUAUCCAUUCUCAAACGGAUAUUUAAAUCACAGUCACAACAUGAGACCACUUUGGAAUAGUUACUUACCUAGUAAUCAAACAAUUCAUGUGACAUGAAUAUAAAAUUGUUCCUAGUUUUUUUUUUAGUCCUCUAUUACAGUCAGUGGAUAUCAAAAAGUUGACUAGUUAUAUACUAAGCCAAGAUACUUUUGUGAUUCUUAAAAGUAUGUUAUAUUAUUUUUCAGUGUCUUAGGGAGGACUCUGUUUAUUAGUCUGUUCUCACGCUGCGAAUAAAGACAUACCCAAGACUGGGUAAUUUAUAAAGGAAAUAUGUUUAGUUGACUCACAGUUCAGCAUGGCUGGGGAGGCCUCAAAAACUUACAGUCAUGGCAGAAGGGGAAGCAACACCUCCUUCUUCACAUGGCAGCAGCAAGGAGAAGCGCCCAGCAAAGGGGGUAAAGCCCCUUAUAAAACCAUCAAAUCUCGUGAGAACUCACUGUCAUGAGAACAGCAUGAGGGUAACUGCCUCCAAGAUUAAAUGACCUCCCACCAGGUCCCUCCCAUGACACGUGGGGAUUAUGGAAACUACAGUUCCAGAUGAGAUCUGAGUGGGGGCGUAGCCAAACCAUAUCACUCCAGGAGAUUCUUUUGGAUAUUAAUAUUAGGAAUAUCAGUAUUUCUCCUUAACAAAUAAUUUAAUAGUGAACAAUAUGAAACACGGAGGACAAUGCCGAGGAAAGUGUCAAUGUAAAGAAGUCUUUACAUUGAAAUAACUAUGUGAGAUCCAUAAAUAAGGUUUUAUUUAACUGCUAGUUCUUAUUGCUCUGCAGGGGCUGUGAAAUGGCUUGGAUUUGUGUCCCCACCCCAAUCUCAUGUUGAAUUGUAAUCCCAAGUGUUGGAGGAGGGGCCUGGUGGGAGGUGAUUGGAUCAUGGGGACGGAUUUCCCCCUUGCUAUUCUCGUGAUAGUGAGUUCUCAUGAGAUCCGAUUGUUUAAAAGUGUGUAGCAGCCUCCCUCCCCCACUUAUCUCUCUUCCCCCUGCUCCAGCCACGUGGUGCUUGCCUGCUUCCCCUUUGCCUUCCUCCAUGAUUGUAAGUUUCCUGAGGCCUCCCCAGUCAUGCUUCCUGUACAGCCUGUGGAACCAUGAGCCAAUUAAACCUCUUUUCUUUAUAAAUUAUGCAGUCUCAGGUAGAUCUUUAUAGUAAUGUGAGAAUGGACUGAUACAGGCUGCUGAGAAAUGGUAAUAUUGUAGUGAAGGAUAAUAGUAACAGCGAAUAUUUAUUAAGAAUUUUCUGCGUGUUCUGCAUUGUGCAACUUUUAAAAUACAUUGUCACAUUCAAUUCUCAUGAUAACCCUUUCGGGGGGAAAUAGUAUUUAUGUCUUUUAGAUGAGUAAACUAUGGACUUAGAAAGAUGUAGUUGCUUGUUAAAUUCUCAGCUGGACUGACUAAUAUUCCAUUGUAUAUAUGCACCACAGUUUCUUUUUCCAUUUGUCCAUUGACAGAUACUUAGGUUGUUUCCAUAUCUUAGCUCUUGUGAAUAAUGCUGCAAUGAAUACAGGAGUGCAGGUAUCUUUACAAGGUGGUGAUUUUAUUUCCUUUGGCUACAUGCCUAGAAAAUAGAUUGCUGGGUCAUAUAGUAGUUUUAAUUUUAAUUUCUUUAGAAGUCUCCAUACUGUUUUCCAUAAUGACUGUACCAAUCUACAUUCCCAUCAACAGUGUAUAAGAGUUCCCUUUUUUCCAAACCCUCACCAACAUUUGUUAUCUUCUGACCGUUUGAUACCAGCCAUCAUAACAGUGGAAGGUGGUAUCUCAUGGUGGUUUUGAUUUGCAUAUCCUUGCUCCCUGUGCAUACCUUUAUCAUGGUAUUAUUCAUAUUGUGUUCUGGUUCUCUUUUAUAUUUUUCUACUGCUUUCCAAUCCUCCAAAGAAUUAUAAGUUAUUUAGAGGCAGGAGCUGUUGAAUGAAUAAAUUAAUGAAUACAAGAAAAAGAGUAAAUAUCUAAGAGUUUCCUACUCCCUUUAUUAGUUCACAAACGUGGUCAAAUUAAUAGUUUACCAAUUAUAAACCAUCAUAAGCUCUAUGCAGAAGCUCGCUUUUGUUCUAACCGAAUACACUGUUCUUCAAAGACACAAAUGACAUUAAAUGUUUUGCAAAUGAACCCACUGGAGUGCAGGAAGAACAUUAUAUUGGAAAAUAUUAAACAACCUGAAACAAAAAGCAGAUCAUUUCCCAACCACAAAUUGCAAAUUAAAGAAAAAAAAUUCUAAACCAAGAUUAAAACCUACUUUAAAGUACUUUCCUUCUAGACAUCUCUUUAUAGUGAACAGUAAACAGUAUGAGCAUCUUUUAAUUAGAGAGUAAAAUGGGAGAACCAAAGUCCAAGAAAUGUAGGGGGUUUGUUUUCACAGAUCUCAUGGCAACUCUUUCUCAUAUGUCUGUCUGAUGAAGAGUGAAGCCUCUUUGGUGCAGGACUGUUUUUUGAUCCUUGUAUCCCCAGUGCUGAGCAUAGAGUAUACGUUCAAUAGACAGUUGGAUGAACUUUUGAGUGAAGUAUGACUUAGACAAAUUGCAAUUUCCCUAACAGACCAUGCUGUGAAAGUUGUGAAAAGCCUUCACCCUGAUCUGAUUAGAUUUCUACUACAUUUGAAAACCUGUCACCCUCCUAAAUUUUUUUAAGGGAAGUAUAUGUACACACAUACAAGUAAACAAUUUAAUAUUGAACAUAGACAAAGCCUUCUCUGGAAGCAAUUAGUUGAUUUACAGUGCCAUUGGUAGCAGUUUUAUGUAUGUGGGAGUGUAUGAAUGUAAAUCUUGGCCUCAUGGAGUCAUUUCUCUCUCUUGAAAAUUUGAGAUUCUAUGUAAUACUAAAAUUUAAUACACCAAGACAUCCUUAGAACAUGUUUGCUCUAAUACAUAAGACUGGUUCAUUCUGACAUUCAUUUGCGGCAUUUCCAUGACUGAAAUAACCACUUUGAGAGAGAAUCUCAAUCCAUACACGUGCGGUCCUUUGUGCUGAUGCUCAACAGGAAAGGCCUGAUGUCUCUCAUGGCAACUCUAUUGUUUGCAUAGAAGCCUAAGGAGCACUAGUUACAUUCUUUGACAUUGAAAUAGUAAAACUCCAGCAGCUAUCUCUCAGUCUAAAGAAUGCCGUGCAGCUUGAUGACACAUUGAUUGCUUUCCUUUAGUCUUUUCUGGCCGUAAAAUCGCCACAUGGAAAUUCAUUCAAUUUCUUGAGAUCUUUUCAGUUUUCUCAAAUUCUGACUUCCUAAAAUGUUAAUAUAUAUCCCAUGUGUUUAAAUGAUUUAGGAUUGAGGUGCUAAAAAUAACUCAUCACCUACGUCUACGAGUCCUAAGAAACAUUUAAGUUGCAUGUAAUCAUAUGAUUUUAAAAUUUAAGGAGCUGUUCGAGAAAUAUAAAACGGCCAGUUAAGGUAGUUAUUCAGAUGAUUCAGAUUUAAAGUAGUCUUGUAAUAACUUCAUUUGGUGUGUUUAAUUACGAUGACUUAUAGUGGUUGAAUUCUCUGUGUAGAUUUAGUUUUAAUUUUAAUUCAACUACCACACCUGGUGUAUUAGUUCAUUUUCAUGCUGCUGAUAAAGACCUACCCAAGAAUGGGUAAUUUAUAAAGAAAAAGAUGUUUAAUGGACUCACAGUUCCACAUGGCUGGGGAGGUCUUACAGUCAUGGUGGAAGGAGAAAGGCCUAUCUUACAUGGUGGCAGGCAAGAGAGAGAAUGAGAGCCAAGUGAAAAGGAAAACCCCUUAGAAAACCAUCAGAUCUCAUGAGACAUAUGCACUACCAUGAGAACAGUAUGGGGGAAACCGCCCCCAUGAUUCAAUUAUCUCCCAACAGGGCCCUCCCACAACACGUGGGAAUUAUGGGAGCUACAAUUCAAGAUGAGAUUUGGGUUUGAGUUUGGGACACAGCCAAACCGUAUCAUCUGGUUUUCUAACUUUGUUAGAUAGACGAACUAGAGAACACAAUGAAUACAACCUGAGCUUUUUGUUCUUCUUGGUGAUUGGUCUGUUUCUUUAUUUCUUUACUUUUGUUAUGAUAUUUGGAAUCCAUGGCAAUUGCAACUUCUGCAUUUGGCUUGGUGAUUUCUAGAAAUGUCAGGAAUUUUUACCAAUCCAGUGUUUCUGUUUCCAAAGAUUAUUUGCUGGCUGAUCAAUUGGAUAUGGAAUUAUCACCAAUAAGUAAAUGUGAUAUACUUUUAAUCUGUGACUCAGAAAGUGAGUUCUGCUUAUCUUGAUGGAGACAAAUGACACAGUUCUAGAAACUGGGCAAGAAUUCUUAGCUUAUUUCAAUCUACUCUGGAUCCCUUGUUCAAAGUUCUUAAGUGCUGGAAUUUGUGGGAAAAGGAAUGUAAUAUUUUAAUCUGCCUCAUGAACUGUUUAUUAUUUAUGAAAUAUUUCUCACAUUACUUACAUAAUGGAGAUGGAAAGAGGGAGUCUUUUUGGAGAAAGUAUUAAAUUAUUUCCUUCCAAGUCCAAACAUAAUUUAGGCAGUUUAUAAGUUAUCCUCACAUUUGGUUAGACAUAAAUCUGAGUUAUCUGGGUAAAAUAAAAACAAAUAACAAAUUGGUAGCUUAACUUAGCAUAUUAACUCUAUCACAUUGCUUAAUAUGAACUUCAGACACCUGAGAGACAGAAGUAAACACUAUUGGCUCUUCCUGUGGCACUACAAGAUUUCUUUCCUCAUUUCAUACUCUCCGGUUUCUACGUAUUUGAAAUUUUAAGUAUAACCUUCUGAUACCAAUUUGGCUUUCAAUGUAGAUCACGUUAUUCAGUCAGCAAACAUUUCUUGAGUCUGCCAAAUGCUAGGCUUCAUACAUUCAAAUAUGAGAAAUGUGGUCCUCGUCCUUGUGGGGUUUGUGGUCUACUUGGGUUGGAGGAGGGGAGAGAAACCAAACAUAUAAAAAUGAGAUACCUAUUAUAAUAAAGCAUAACUUUGAUGUUAACAUAUCAAACAUUUCUAUUUUCCCCCGAAAUGUAUGAUUUGAGGGUGGUAAUAUGAAAUAGAGGAGUUUUCUGAUAGUAUUGUUAGGAGAGAAGUUUGUGAACUUAGGAGUUCUAAUAGAAUACUUCAAUUAGAAAAUGACUUCCCUUCCUGGGAAGGUAAUCUUUCUGCCUCAGCCACUCUGUUUAUCAGCAUUGUUGGAGACCUACUAACUGCUAAAACAUAGCAAUAAAUAAUGCCUACAUCACAAGACCUAUAUUUUACAUCAAGAAGACCAUACAGUAAUAAAUGGUAAUUAUUUUAAAUAAUACUCAAGGGAAGGCAAACUUCCAAAGAAUACAUUUUCAAUGUCCCAGGCUGAUGAAUAAAGGGAGCAUUUUACAUCAUUUUGGCUAUUCUUUCCUUAGGGCAAUAGUAUAUAGUGGUGCUUGCCUGAGAAACAUGACACAAUUUUUAUUUUAUUGCAUGCAUAUCAAGCAUGAAAUUUUCCUUUAUUUUUAAAAGUGUCUGAAGCAUGGUUCAGGAAUUUUUUUUUUAAUUCUCGUGUUCUCAAACUGUUUAAUCAAUUGAAAUUAAAAAAAAUCUGAACUU
rnacentral:lncRNA from 1 species